UAUCUUACCACAAUAAUAAUAUUAAUAUCACGCCACUAUGCCCCACCUCCAUCGCGCAUCUCGAAUGUAUGUAUAAAAAGACGGACGUCUCCUCGAUUCCGGCAUAACACAUUUUUUGUGCAAAUCUAUUCUUUGUUUUUACUCUAUUUUUCUUCACGAAAACCAACCAAAAUCCAAAAUGGGCGCUGAAAAAGUAUCAAUGAACAUCGUUGUCGUCGGACAAGUCCAAUCUGCCAAGGCCGUCAAAAUCGUCGCCAAAGCCGCCCCAGCCACCAACCAAUUGAACUGUUAAUUCGUCAUGUAGUUCACAUGAACUACUUCACAAACUCAAAAAUGCCAUAGCCCAAAUAUUACAAUAAUAUGUAAUUAUACUAACAUGUAUGUAAAUUAAUAUAUACAUUGCAAAAUAAAUCAGUCUUUUCCGCUA